GAUGGCAAGGGUAUAUUAAAGACUAUGAUGGAGGUAUUCUUAUGGAAUGCAAAAUUGAUCCAAAACUCCCAUACACUGAUUUAUCAACUAUGAUUCGUCGUCAAAGACAGGUGGGAUAAAAAUGUACUUUGUUAAUUGAUUCUUAUGUGGAAGUUUCUAAGGGAUGCUGUUGAGAGAGAAUACAUUUAAUGUCAACAGUGAGUUGGAUUUACAAUGGUUACACUGUUUACCAUGGAAAUCAUCAAAUCGAGAUUCUUACUAUGCUUCCAUCAUUGCAUAGUAUCGAGCCCCAUUUGUCAACACAGUAAAUGCAUUAGCAUUGUUUUUAAGUGUCAAAAAUUGUUCCUUGAUAGAGAGGCCUAUAAUUAUUAUUGAUUAUGUUGUACAGUUCUUACUCCUUGAUUUACUCUGUUUUAUGUGAUAUCAUUUAAAAAGACUUAUUUCAAUGCAUGGCUUUUGAAGUUUCUUUUAAACAUUUGCCUGUGCUGUUUACCCUGUUUUAGUAGAUCUUUACACUGACAUAUCAUUCUUGUUAUUUUGGUAAUGUUAGGCAAUUGAUGAAAAGAUUAGAG
rnacentral:misc_RNA from 1 species